rnacentral:rRNA from 1 species
GUAAUUCCAGCUUCAAUAGCGUAUAUCUAAAGUUGUUGUGGUUAAAAAGCUCGUAGUCGAACCUUGGGCCUGGCUGGCCGGUCCCCCUCACCGGGUGCACUGAUCCAGCCGGGCCUUUCCCUCUGUGGAACCCCAUGGCCUUCACUGGCUGUGCGGGGGAAACAGGACUUUUACUGUGAAAAAAUUAGAGUGCUCCAGGCAGGCCUAUGCUCGAAUACAUUAGCAUGGAAUAAUAGAAUAGGACGUGUGGUUCUAUUUUGUUGGUUUCUAGGACCGCCGUAAUGAUUAAUAGGGACAGUCGGGGGCAUCAGUAUUCAGUUGUCAGAGGUGAAAUUCUUGGAUCUACUGAAGACUAACUACUGCGAAAGCAUUUGCCAAGGAUGUUUUCAUUGAUAAGGAACGAAAGUUAGGGGAUCGAAGACGAUCAGAUACCGUCGUAGUCUUAACUAUAAACUAUGCCGAC